rnacentral:rRNA from 1 species
ACAUGCAAGUCGAACGCGAAAGUCCCCUUCGGGGGAUAAGUAGAGUGGCGCACGGGUGAGUAACACGUAGGUAAUCUACCUUCGGGUGGGGAAUAACCCAGGGAAACUUGGGCUAACACCGCAUAAUGCAGCGGCACCACAUGGUGACAGUUGUUAAAGCGGGGGAUUUUAGGACCUCGCGCCUGAAGAGGAGCCUGCGGCAGAUUAGCUAGUUGGUAAGGUAACGGCUUACCAAGGCGACGAUCUGUAACCGGCCUGAGAGGGCGGUCGGUCACACUGACACUGACAUACGGGCCAGACUCCUACGGGAGGCAGCAGUCGGGAAUUUUGGGCAAUGGGCGAAAGCCUGACCCAGCAACGCCGCGUGAAGGAUGAAAUCCCUCGGGAUGUAAACUUCGCAAGAACGGGAAGAAUAAGUAGGGGACAAUACCCCCUAUGAUGACGGUACCGUUUGUAAGCUCCGGCUAACUCCGUGCCAGCAGCCGCGGUAAUACGGGGGGAGCAAGCGUUGUUCGGAUUUACUGGGCGUAUAGGGCGCGUAGGCGGCCACCGCAAGUCAAUUGUGAAAUCUCCGGGCUUAACUCGGAAAGGUCAACUGAUACUGCGGGGCUAGAGUGCGGAAGGGGCAACUGGAAUUCUCGGUGUAGCGGUGAAAUGCGUAGAUAUCGAGAGGAACACCUGCGGCGAAGGCGGGUUGCUGGGCCGACACUGACGCUGA